UACGUAGGGGGCCAGCGUUGCUCGGAAUUACUGGGCGUAAAGGGUUCGUAGGCGGUGCGGCAAGUUGGGAGUGAAAUCUCUGGGCUUAACCCAGAGGCUGCUUUCAAAACUGCCGCGCUCGAGUGCGAGAGAGGUCAGUGGAAUUGCAGGUGUAGCGGUGAAAUGCGUAGAUAUCUGCAGGAACACCCGUGGCGAAGGCGGCUGACUGGAUCGCAACUGACGCUGAGGAACGAAAGCUAGGGGAGCAAACAGG
rnacentral:rRNA from 1 species